GGGCGAUUGGCUCAGUUGGUUAGAGCGCUGCUUUCACACGGCAGAGGUCACAGAUUCGAAUUCUGUAUCGCCCAC
rnacentral:tRNA from 1 species